GUAGGGUGCAAGCGUUAAUCGGAAUUACUGGGCGUAAAGCGUGCGCAGGCGGCUUUGCAAGACAGAUGUGAAAUCCCCGGGCUCAACCUGGGAACUGCAUUUGUGACUGCAAGGCUGGAGUGCGGCAGAGGGGGAUGGAAUUCCGCGUGUAGCAGUGAAAUGCGUAGAUAUGCGGAGGAACACCGAUGGCGAAGGCAAUCCCCUGGGCCUGCACUGACGCUCAUGCACGAAAGCGUGGGGAGCAAACAGGAUUAGAUACCCUGGUAGUCCACGCCCUAAACGAUGUCAACUGGUUGUUGGACGGCUUGCUGUUCAGUAACGAAGCUAACGCGUGAAGUUGACCGCCUGGGGAGUACGGCCGCAAGGUUG
rnacentral:rRNA from 1 species